rnacentral:lncRNA from 1 species
CCCACCUGCAAGAAAAAAUUUUUGGCACAUGGGAACCUAGUUAUAUGGUGCCUAAUCCCUAGUUCAUCUAGUCAUAGGUUGACCCAACACAAAUCUAAAAUUAAUUUGACUCAAUUUAGAUUUAAUUAGCCCAAUCUGGAAUCAAUUUUGAACCUGAUUCGAAACAAGAAGCUAGGAUUUGCAACAUGUGUUAGCAUGUUUAUUUUGCAAACAUGAUCUAUUUCAAUUAGACCCC